CCUACGGGUGGCAGCAGUGGGGAAUAUUGGACAAUGGGGGCAACCCUGAUCCAGCCAUGCCGCGUGAAUGAUGAAGGCCUUCGGGUUGUAAAAUUCUUUUGGUGGGGACGAUGAUGACGGUACCCACAGAAUAAGCUCCGGCUAACUUCGUGCCAGCAGCCGCGGUAAUACGAAGGGGGCUAGCGUUGUUCGGAAUUACUGGGCGUAAAGGGCGCGUAGGCGGCUUGAUAAGUUGGAUGUGAAAUCCCAGGGCUCAACCCUGGAAUUGCAUUCAAGACUAUCUUGCUUGAAUUCGGUAGAGGUUGGUGGAAUUCCCAGUGUAGAGGUGAAAUUCGUAGAGAUUGGGAAGAAUAUCCGUGGCGAAGGCGGCCAACUGGACCGACAUUGACGCUAAAGCACGAAAGUGUGGGGAGCAAACAGGAUUAGAUACCCCUGUAGUC
rnacentral:rRNA from 1 species